GAUGAACGCUAGCUACCGGCUUAACCCAUGCAAGUCGAAGGACCGGCGCACGGGUGAGUAACACGUAUCCCACCUUCCCUUUACUCGGUGCUAGCCUUUCGAAAGAAAGAUUAAUACCCGCUGUAAAGGAUGGGGAUGCGUUGCAUUUGGUUGUUGGUGAGGUAACGGCUCACCAAGCCUUCGAUGGAUAGGGGUUCUGAGAGAAAGGUCCCCCAGAUUGGAACUGGGCCACGGACCAAACUCCUACGGGAGGCGGCAGUGAGGUAGAAUGGUCAACAGGCGUUAGGCGGAACCAGCCAGGUAACGAGAAGGAUGAUGGGGUAUGGGUCGUAAACAUCUUUUAUAGAAGAAGAGGUAUUAUAUGAGUAAGGAACGGCUAACUACGUGCCAGCCGCCGCGGUAAUUC
rnacentral:rRNA from 1 species